CAGACCCUGUGUCACCCCUGUCCCCUCUGCAGGGGCCCCAGACCCUGUGUCACCUCCAUCCCCUCCAUAGGUGCAGACCCUGUGUCACCCCCAUCCCCUCCGCAGGACCCCAGGCCCUGUGUCACUCCCAUCCACUCCAUAGGGGCCCAGACCCUGUGUCACCCCUGUCCCCUCUGCAGGGGCCCAGACCCUUUGUCACCCCCCGUCACCUCAGUAUGGCCCCAGACCCUGGGCCCCCCCCGUACCUCCCAGCCCCGGGACGGUGGUGAUCACCCCCUUUCCUAGGGACGUUCUGACUUUGCACUUAUCACGUGCAUUAGACAGGUGACUGGGGGCUGCCACAGCCUUUCCCCGUGCCGUCCUCUCUCCACAAAUAACAGCUCCCUGCUUUCCCACCGUCUCCAAAACCCCCUCCCGAAAUUGCACCCUGACCAAGAGUCGUCCUCGCGGCUCGGCGUGUGACCCGAGGGUGGCGGAUAGCGGUGCCUGCAGGGAGCCAGCCUCUCUGUGCUGGGCCAUCAUCUUUUCCUGGGAGGAACACACCUGGUAACUUGGAGUUUUUGAAGAUGUCCGCAGAUAUACCAUUAAAUAUUAAUAUUAAGGAGCCCCGAUGGGAUCAAAGCACUUUCACUGGACGAGCCAGUCACUUCUUUACUGUAACAGACCCCCGGAAUAUUUUGUUAUCUGAUGCCCGACUAGAAAACGCAAGAAAAAUUGUUCACGAUUACAGACAAGGUAUCGUCGCACCGGGCUUGACAGAAGAUGAAUUGUGGAGAGCAAAAUAUAUCUAUGAUUCAGCCUUUCAUCCAGACACUGGUGAAAAGAUGAUCUUGAUUGGCCGAAUGUCAGCUCAGGUACCAAUGAACAUGACUAUCACAGGUUGUAUGAUGACCUUUUACAGAACGACACCAGCGGUGGUUUUCUGGCAGUGGAUUAAUCAGUCCUUCAACGCUAUAGUAAAUUACACGAACAGGAGUGGUGAUGCCCCAAUUACUGUCAGCCAGCUGGGAACUGCCUAUGUUUCUGCUACCACAGGUGCUGUUGCAACAGCUUUAGGACUUAAUGCACUAACAAAGCAUGUCUCACCUCUUAUAGGACGAUUUGUUCCUUUUGCUGCUGUUGCCGCUGCUAAUUGCAUUAAUAUUCCACUAAUGAGACAAAGGGAACUCAAGUUUGGAAUCCCUGUCACAGAUGAGAACGGAAACAGACUGGGUGAAUCAACAAAAGCAGCUCAGCAGGCAAUUACUCAGGUGGUUAUAUCAAGGAUUCUUAUGGCUGCUCCUGGCAUGGCAAUUCCUCCCUUUAUAAUGAAUACAUUGGAAAAGAGAGCCUUUUUAAAGGUGAUUGCUGAAUUGCACAGUUUUUCCUGCACUCAUUUCUGGAUUGCAGACUGCCUCCAAGAAAAAGAGGAAAAAUCUUCUACCUCACUUUUUCUUCAAACUCAAGCUCCGGAGAGAGCUUAUUCCAGGCUUGUUCUCCAUGCCUCUCAUACUGCUGUGACCUUUUAGCACUAGCUUCAUCCUACUGAGCUUUCUAAACCUUUCCCCGUUUCUCCCUUCAAAUACUGACCAUCUCUUGCUCACCAGUUUUGCCCCUAACUUUUACAGCUUGAGAAAUACUUCUUGCAGAAAACAUCAUCUUUGUACUCUUCUACUGUAAUGUGCAAUUUUGAUGCAUUAGAGGUUUUGUUUUAAAAUCAACUUGUCCUGCGUAUUGGAGGCACUUAUUUUAUUGUAACAACAAAAGCCCAUUGGAGCAAUGUCAUUUAAGGAGGUCUGGUUUUAUUUCAUUAGCAAUUAAUUUAAACUAAAAUUCUAACAAAGAAGGGGGAGGGGGAUUCCUAAAUCAUUCAGAGGCCUAUAAGAAAAUUGUUAUAGUCCUUGGCAUAUAUUCCUUGAGUUCUGCAAAAGUCAAAAUAUUGAAAAAUAUGCUAAAAAUAAGUGUCCAUAUCUUAUAGGUUGCUUUGUGCUGUUUCCCUACUUCCUCCACCAUUUUUUCUUUUAUAAGAGGAGCUGAGUUCUUGCAGAACUAGAGUACGCUAGACUGAUGUGUAGGAACUUUCCCCUGUAGCUCUCAGAGCAAAACAUGAGAACCCCUUCUCCAUUAAAGAGAGGCAGGACACCUCCCUUUUUUUUUUUUUUCCCCCCCCCGGAAGGCAGCUGCAGUUGCUGUUGCACACAAAGCAAAUCUCCAGUUGUAAAUUAGAACCAUGCAAUGUCAGUGAAGAGACAGGAGCUGUAGCUAGAGCUAUCUCUGCGUGGGGAUGCUUGGACCAAAUUCGCUGUGCCCUCAAGACCUGGCACUGGCUGUAUUGCUCCAAACUUUGGCUUUGUUGCGAGAUUCUGUGGGCACAGGUGACUCACAGAAGAAUUGGUACACAUACUCAGGUCAGAAUCAGGUCAUGAGGAAAACCACCAACCACUUAUGGCAGUUUCUAAGGGACACUUACUCAGGAUAUCUGUGUACAGUGAUAUCCCCGGGACUUUUCUAUUACAUUCAAAGGGAUCGGGAUCAGGAUCUCAAGGUAGAGCUCAGGUUUAAGGUAUACCAGUAAUUGUUUUGCCUUCUUUUUGUCCAACAGUCUUUUAGAUCUAAUCUGUCUCUUAUAAUACAAGAAAUUUCCAGGAAGGUGGGAAAGGGGUGGGGGGUGCAGGAAAAGAUACCAUACUCACUGUGUACGGUUUCUUUAACAGAGAUUUCCAUGGAUGAGUGCUCCCAUUCAAGUUGGAUUAGUUGGAUUCUGUCUCGUGUUUGCAACACCCUUGUGCUGUGCACUGUUUCCUCAAAAAAG